UCCUCUUUUGAUCUUUGUUUCGUUUCCUUUCUAUUAACUUGUUGGUUUUGUUCGACGUCGGCGUGCUCGGUAAGUUUUGGGUUUUCUCUUAAGCAUUGACGUUUUUGGACUAAGUGUUGAUGAAGAAUUGUUUUGUUGUUUUCGUUAGGCGAAUGUCAAUGACAUGUUAGUGCGCCAUAGCGAUUAGAGCAUUAGGAAUUACGGUUCAUUGAUGGUAAGUGGGUGUUAAUGCUAGUUAAUUUGGUGAGUUUUUCACAAUGUUAUAAUCUCGAUUCAAGUUCAUAUAUCUCUAAAAUCAAAAUUGGAUUAUCGAUUUUUUAGGUUCUGGGGCGUUCGGAGUUCAGCUUAGCUUCAAACAAAACCAUGUGUGUACCAAAAACGUAGAAAACAAGAUCGACGAAAAGCUAAAAAAACCAAUCUGUCGACGCCAUACAAGCGUGUGGUAGGCCGUGUGGUAGGCUGUGUGACGAUACAUGGGCAUGUGAUCGAUGAGCCAGGCUAUGUGUGCAUGACACGACCGUGU
rnacentral:lncRNA from 1 species